UGCUUUAUCACUCUUUCUUAUCAGGCAAAGUCAUCCCUAAAAUGUAGUGCCCAAGGCAAAGCAGUUCUCGAUCUCAUUUGUGGAUCAUGUUUUUAUACAUAUGCCAAGUUUUCUCCUCUGGGUCUUUCACUUGGGUCUUCUCAUACAGCCAAGAUGUCUGCCAGCAGCCCCAGGGAUACACACAUUUCUUCUACUCAGGAGGAAAAAAGAGCCUCUUCAUCUCCAAAUUCUUGGCAAAAUACCAAGAUGGACUGAUCUUUGGGAGCUUAUCAGAGAUGCUUCAAUUUCUCCCCCUUCACUUAGGCUUUGAAUCUUUCUCGGUGAGUUGCACA